CUGCCUGGUGACCUUUGAGCAGAAAGUGCCAGAGUCUAUCCUGGAGUGGCUUCAGGCAGUGCUUCUCAGGCCCUUAGGUCCUUAUGAUCACUUGGAGUCUUGUGGAAAUGCAGUUCCACUUGGACAGACCUGGGGUGGUGAAGAGUCUACAUUUCUUACAAACUCCCAGGGGCUACAGAUGCUACUGAACUUAAGUAGCAGGACUCUAGGAAGGAUAGGCCAACUAUGUAGGCAGGGAGGACCUGGGGAGUGUGGAAGAAGAGUUUUGGUUGAGAGCUGAGUUUUUCUAGGGUCCAAAGCUGGACAUGACGAGCAGGUCAUCUCUUCAGACUAUCAAUGAUGAUGAUGAUGAUGAGGAUUUGCACUUUUGGCUUGCUGUUCUCCAGCAACUGUGUGCAAUUCAAGGGCGAGUUUCUUGAUUUAUUUUCAGCUGAAAGAUUUGUGCUAGAGUCUCCACUGUGGUGUGGCAUGGAGCUGAGGAACAGUUCUGAAGAUUAUUCCUUCCUUGUUUGGCCAGACAUCCAGCAUCCUUGGCAUUGCCCACUAGAUGCCAGUAGCAACCUCCCUGAUUACUGUGGCUGCCUCAGUCUGCUCUGGCUGCUAUAACAAAAUACCCGAGACCGAUGUGUAAUUUACACACAACAGAAAUGUAUUGCUCAUAGUCCUGGAGGCUGGGAAGUCCAAGAUCAACGUGCCAGGAGAUUCGGUGUCUGGUGAGGGCCCACUACUCAUAGAUGAAGCUUUCUAUGUGCCCUCUGGUGCCAGAGCAAAAAGAGACUCACAAGCUCCCUUGGGGCUCUUUUAUAAGGAAACCCAUCCCACUCAUGGGGAUGGCACCCUCAUGAUCUAAUCACCCAAAGGCCUUACCCUUUACUACCAUCACCUUGGUUAGGUUUCAGCAUACAAAUUUUGGAGGAACAUCAACAUUCAGACAAGAGCAGUGGCACUUGAAAAAUGCUCCUGAAGGGUGGUGCUGCCCUGGCUGAGAGUUGCUGAACUAGAUGUACCCCCUGUUGAGGGCAGGGACCAUGGUGUAGUUUCUAUAUCCUGAGUGGCUGGCAUCGUGCCUGGCAUGGUAUAGGAACUUGAUAAACGUGUCUUGCAUCAAAGAAAGGCAGCCUCUUGGGCACUAAGAGGAUGUCAUUGUGAAAAACCCCUGCUUCAGGAGUCAGAUUUGUGCCUCUGCUACACCCAGCCGCAUUGGCACCUGCUGAGGAUGGCAGCGUCCUGACCUGGAAGGAUGGUUGGGGAAGACGAGAGGCAGGAAAUAAUGGUGCCUUCUGAAGUCAGCUCUGUUUCCUUGGCUUUCCCCUAGGGCUCUGAACCUCCGUUUUCUUAUAAAAAGGCUGCUGAAUGUUUGAGUUUUCCACACAUCUGUCGGUUUUUGGGCCGAGCUGCUGAAGCAUAAGGCCUGUCUUGUUCAUUCUUAUGUCCUCGGGCCCUGACACAUAGUAGGUGUCUUGUGAAUGUUUGCUGAAAGAACUAUUUGAAUUCCUUAGGGAAGCUGGCUCUUCCUAGGAGCUCAGCAAUGGAUCCUUCGGUUUCACUGAAGACUGAGUUUGUAAUGUGAAUCCUUACCCCUCCAUUUAUUCAUGAAGUUAUUAGUUCAUUCAUUCAUUCAUUCAUUCAUUCAUUCAUUCAUUCAUUCAUUCAACAAAUAUUAACUGAGCACUUGCUAUGUCCCAGGCCCUGUGCUGAAGCAGGAGGAGGCAGGCUUUGUUCUUACCCUGGAGCUAAGGGUGUGCUGGGGUGAACAGACAUUAGUCCAACAGUCAGACAAGCAGUGGGAAAAUGACAGCCUAAUAAAUGCUUCUAGCAGAAGGUAUGUCCGUGGCCUGUGAAAGGCUGUGAGGUAGCCCGUGUCGGAUCUGCAUGGUCAUGGGCAAUGGAGGAUGGCAGGGAGCGUCCCUGAGGGGGUGGAGUUGGAGCUAAGAUCUGCAAGGAAGAGCUGGGCAUGGUGGCUCAUGUCUAUAAUCCCAGAACUUUGGGAGGCCGAGAUAGGCGGAUCAGAGUUGGAGACCAGCCUUGCCAACAUGGUGAAACCCUGUCUCUACUAAAAAUACAAGAAUUAGCUGGGUGUGGUUGUGCAUGCUUGUAAUCCCAGUUACUCAGGAGGAUGAGGCAGGAGAAUUGCUUGAACCUGGGAGGCAGAGGUUGUGGUGAGUUGAGAUUGUACCAUUGUACUACUUGGGAGACAGAGCCAGCCUCUCUAUAUAUAAAAAAAAAUCUGCAAAUCUAUAAGGAAGUGCUUAGGGCACUAAUAUUUUUUCUAAGCAUUAGAGGAUGAAUAAGUAAAUUUUAUUAAGGCUUUUAAAUAGUUGUUUUAUAAUUUAGUGUUUUUUAUUUUGGAUUAUGAGUAAGGUAAGUGCUUUUUUUUUUUUGAUAUGGAUUCUCACUCUGUUGCCCAGGUUGGAGUGCAGUGGUGUGAUCUUGGCUCACUACAACCUGUCUCCUGGAUUCAAGCAGUUCUCCUGCCUCAGCCUCCCAAAUAGCUGGGAUUACAGGUGUACACCGCCAUGCCCAGCUAAUUCUGUUGUAUUUUUAGUAGAGAUGGGGUUUCAUCAUGUUGGCCAGGCUGGUUUUGAACUCCUGACCUCAGGCGAUCCACCUACCUUGGCUUCCCAAAGUGCUGGGAUUAUCUGUGUGAGCCACUGCGCCUGGCAAAUGCUCCUUUGUGUAUAUAGGGUCUCCCCAUGUCUUGGCCCUGGGUCUGAGAUGUGUAAGAGGUAAGUGGGUGGAGGCUAGUGAGGAGAGUGCUGCAGACAGUGGGGAGAGCACGUGCAAAGGCCCUGGGGAAGCAGAGGCAACACAGGGAGUGGGGAGAUUGGCAGGGACAGGGGUAGGUACCCAGGGAGUGGUGAGAUAAGGGCAUGGCAUGGGGCUGGGGCCAGAUCACACAGGGCCUUGCAUGCCAUGGAAAGGGAUGGGGAUUUUAUUCUAAGCCCAUUGGGAAGCCAUUGGAAAAGGUGAGCCAAAGGGUGACAUGAUCUGAUGUGUGUUUGUAACAGAUCCCUCGGCUGCUGUGGAGAGCAUGGGCAGGUGUGUGGGUUGUCCUGGGGGUUUGUUUAUAGGUUUCUCCUUCCUGGCUGGAAGUUAUGGGUCCUGGGACCACCCGCCAUGUGAGGCCAAAGGUGCCCUUGGGUCAUCGGUGCCCAGGACCAUUAUCUCACUCUCGUCUGGGUUUCUGGACUUUCUCUUUUCUUUCUGGGUCAGGCAAACCUGGCCUUUUGAAGCCAGAUGGAGACAGAAGACCUUCGGGUGAUGUUUAGAUUUUUAAGUCACUGUGAAUCUCACUGAAGUGACCUAUUUUUCUUCCAUGUUGCUCUUGUAAUUUUUAUGAAUGGAUGAUAAAAAAUGUGGCAGGGUCAUUUGUUUUAAUUUCCUUCUGACACCUGGAUUCUGCGUUUGGUGGCAGCCAUCCCACCAGUGGCUGGAAGUCUGCCUCCAGGCAGUGGGGUGGCCCUGGGCCCAGCUCACACCUGGCUCUGUUGUGGAUGGUGGGGCAGCAUGCCCUGGCCCCCAUAAGGCAGCGAACCCCCUUUAGAGCAUAGGACUGGAGGGUCAGUGCUGGUGCCCAGGGAUGGGACUGGUUCUAGUGUGUCUGUCUAAUCAGCCAGGCAGCUGGUUGGGGUGAGAACUUGAAGCCUCUAUCCUUCUGGGACUACAGUCCUGCCCAUAUUAUGGAGGGUCCAAUUGUUAGAUGGAAACUAGUUCUUCAGGUCAAACUGGCCUCACCUUUGAUGGGGAGUGGUGAGGGGUCAGUUCUGAGAGAUGACAGCCUCCAAUGCCCAUGAAACCAAAAUUCACCUUUUUUCCUAGGGUGGCCAUUCAUGGUUAUGUCUAUCCCUGUUUUCCAGGCUGUAUCACCACUCUCCACCUUGCCCUUGCCCUUGAAGUAUAUGGUGCCCUUGCCCACGCUGUUCUCCCUGCAUGGGACACCUCCCUGCAGUAUGCUUCCCUGUAAAGCCACUCUGUCCUCGGGUCUUCCCAGCAGCCUUCCCUGACCUCUACACAGAUGGUCGUCCACGUGCCUUCUCUGGGGCUCUCAGGAGCACUGGAGCACUUGGACACUCCCUUGUUUCUCAAAAUACAUUUUUCUUAUUUUAUGUUUGCUAUAUAAAUUUACUGUGGGGCUGGGCGCAGUGGCUCAUACCUGUAAUCCCAGCACUUUGAGAUGCCAAGGUGGGUGGGCAGAUCACAAGGUCAGGAGUUUGAGACCAGCCCAGCCAACAUGGCAAAACCCUGUCUUUACUAAAAAGACAAAAAUUAGCUGGGCGUGGUGGUGGGCACCUGUAAUCCCAGCUACUUGGGAGGCUGAGGCAGGAGAAUUGCUUGAACCUGGGAGGUGGAGGUUGCAGUGAGCCUAGAUUGCGCCACUGCAUUGCAGCCUGGGCUAUGAGAGUGAAACUCCAUCUCAAAAUAAUAAUAAGAUCAACUCACUGUGGAAAGUCUAUUAAGUAAGGAGAAGUGAAAGAGGAAAAUGAAGUUAUAACGUGGAGAUCCAGAGAGUCGUUCUGGCAUUCGUCUGUCCACAUUCUCAUUCUGCAAUCUGCUUUGUUUUUGUUUACCUGUAGGUUGUAAACAGCGUAUCACAUUAUUUAAUAUUGUCCGAAGGCCUCCUUUUAAUCAGCUUCAUAGUGUUCCAUUGUGAGGCUGUGCUUGGGUGUGUGUUACAGCACCCUAUAGUCAGACAGGGGGCAUGCCCUGUCCCAGUGAUCGCCUUGCUGUGACCACGGGCAUGCUUUGUGAAGGGCUGAGACCUUGACUUUGUUGAAUAAAUGAAUUCUCCUGCAUUCUUAUCUGCCUCCUGAUGUACCAGAUAAGCCUGUAUUUAAGGCCUUCUUCUUCUCCCAUCCCAGGUGCCUUCCCACCUUUUUCCCAGAAAGAAGACCUGACAUCUUACUCUGCUAUCAUUUAACCUUUAAAAGUGCAGGCCAAUAGCGCAGGUGGCGAAGAGACUAGAAGGGCUGGGCAGGUGUGGGUGCACAGGGUGGCCUCCUGGAGGUGGCAGUGUUGGCACCAGCUCAUAAGUGGCUUCCAGGCCAGAAGGGAGCCCAGCUAGGUGGGCUGCUGAUGAGCAGGAGGGACUCCAGUUGGAAGUGGAGGUCCCUUGAAGCUGGGAACUUUUCAUGCCUGGUUCUAAGCUCUAGCAGCCAUAUUUGAAGGCCCACAGUGCAGCCGAGGUGGCGUUGUGGUCUUUGGAUAUCUGGUGUGUGUGCGCUUUGCACAGCGGUUACAUGGGAGUGGAAUUCUGUCCUGUGUGUGUAAUGAGACACAAACCUUCAUACUUCCUCCAGACCUAUUGGAAGCUGGGAACAAAGCCUUCAUUUCUUCAAGCAUGCAUGAAGGGAUGCUUGUUCACUGCAUCUUGCUCCGCAUCAGGCUCUGUGAUGAUUCCUGCCCUCACUGAGCUCAGAGUCUUGCGGGUGAGGGUACAGCCAUCCCAGUUUGCUCAUGACUUACUGACUAAUGGGUGUCCCCGUAUGUAGCAUUUUUAGGUCUAAAAUUGGGAAAGUCCUAGACAAAUUGAGACAAGUCACUGGGUUACUGUCAUCUAAGGAGAAAGUGGUGAGAACGCUGCGGGCAGGACUGAGGGACCCAGAGGAUGGAAGACGUAUCUGGAUUUCUGGUUACAGGUGUGGCAAGUUUAGUGGGAGUUUUCGAGGCGUGUCAUGGAGUGGGGUUGAGAUCCCUAGAAGGGGUUCUAGCGAAGAUUCUUCCCUUCUCCUUUUCAGUUCUUCAUGCUCUUGCUCCUGUGUUCCCCCUCUGGCCAUGGUGUAGCCAAGGUGUUUCAGAGGGAAAGUGGAUCCCUGGGACCUGGACUCAGUCACCCUUUCUGCGUCCAGGCCUUCUUUGAAGAACAGGGUUCCCCAAAGUCUGCUCUGAAGGGGAAACCCGCCCUUCCUCCCUGGCACCGAAUAGCGUCUACUGGGGUAGACUUCAGUAGCUUCAUUCAUGGCCUGGGUGCAUCACUCAUCCAUUUCUUCACUCACCUCUUCACUCAACUCAGGGCUCCUGUUCAUCUCUUACUUGCAAAGCACUGGGCUGGGCACAAGCUGGUGAUGCAUUGGGUUCAGGGCGGGGCAUAGAGGAACUGGGAGAUAAACAACCCCUGCCAGCCUAGUGAGUUGGGGCGACCUAGGAGCCAGCCAGCUCCAGAAGCCUUAGCGGCAUCUCACCCAGGCAGCCAGUAGGAAGGAAUCCAUAACGUCAUCAGAACCGGAUCCACCCCUGCUGGGUCAGCCCCAGGCUGACCCCAGGGGGCUGCCCUGCUGGGCGCCUCUCUAGAGCCUUUGUACCAGAAGUCUGUCAGGGACCUUGGGAGAGUAGAAUCAUGCACCCUUCUCUAGGAAGAGCCAUUUGUCCAUUGAAAUGCAAUUUUCUCCUGAAAGGACGAAAAAGACAAGAAGGGCCACCAGGGUGAGGAUGGGAUUUAGGUCCCAGCUCCAGAGUAAGUAAAUAUCCAGCAUUCAGGUACAGUCUUUGAAAACUGUAGGGCUGGGUGGAUGGUUUCCCUGCCCCAGGAAAGCCCCACUCCAUCCCUGAUUCUAAAUGCCGUGUGCCUAAAAAUUAAAUUGAGUCAGAAAUGAUUUUAACUUCAUGUGCUUUAAAAAAAUUCAGUGAAGGAAAACCCCAAGCUGACGUCAUGGAUAGAGUACAGUUCAAAGAGAAUAAAUUUUUUCAAAAAAAGAAAUUUCUAGAGGAGAUUUCUUUGUGUGUUCGAGAGGCCACAACGUGGUUGAGCAGGUCGCCUCCCUUGUCCUGAUGCACCUGUGGGGAAGUCCUAGCAGCAACUGCAGAGCCCAGAAGGGAGGAGGGCCCAGCGCUGGAAUGAGGGCGUGUGCAUGCUUGCGCGAGAGUGUGUUGGUGCAUGUGUUCGUAUCAACACAUGCACACAUUUAUCAAAUUACAUCUGCUUUUACCUUUAAAAUUUUAUGAACAUGAGCAUAUGGUGCAUUAUCCUGCCAUGGAGUGUGUGUGUGUGUGCGUGCGCGCGUGUGUGUGUGUGUGCACAGGCAGGUCUGCUUGGCACUCACUCCUCCAGCACACAUGGGUCUGUGGGAACUCCUUUGCAGAUGAGAACCUGGAAGUGUGUGGGGCUGUGGGUGAGCCAGCCUCCCCAGGGCCCCAGCCUGGCCCUUGGCCCACCAGGCCAUGAAUACAUUUCCAUCCAUCUCUGGCCCCCAUCACCUAGGCAGCUAAUUCCUCGGAGCCUCUCAGCCUUAUUAAAGUCACAGAUCACUUUCUUGAGCUUAACGCUGUCAAGACGAAGCGUGCCCCUUGUUCCGACCCCCUCCCGCCAUCCAGCCUCUCCUCAAGGGCUGGGGGUGGAGAUGAGGGUCCUGCCAGCCCCCCGCUCCUGCCCUUUCCCCUCCUCGAUUUGAUCUGCACGACGCCUUGCAGUGAUCAGUGAGGUCACCUCAAGAUUCCUUCAGUAAAGCCCUUGGCAGGGAUACAAGGGCCGUCACAGCUGUGCUGCACAAACCAGCUUCCAAAGGCGAGGAUGGGGCUGGCCCAUUCGAAGUGACUCCUCGGCGGAGGGGUGCAAGGCUCGCUGCUGAUUUGGAGAACACUUCUCCCGUCCCCGGCUGCCUUGGCCUCCCCUGUUAUGAAAUACGGAUGGUACCGGUUCCAGCGUUUGGAGACUCGCUGGCAGUGUGAGCGUCUCCAAAGGCCCGCCUUGUGCAUGCACCUAAACACUUCACUGAGCAAUCUGUCAACAUGUCAGCAACACAUGUUUUGUAAAAAGCUUCCAGUGGGAGUAAUGACUCCCACCAGGACUUCCAAAAUGCUUUGAAUUCAGCAGAUUUCUAUUGCGGGCAUCCCCUGGGGUGCCUUUUACAAUGCCUACAUUUCAGAAAUUUGAGCCACAGACCCCUGGGGGUUUCCUUUCAUAAUGCCUCAAAAUGUAGGGUUAUAUUGUUGGAAGUCCCCAUGGGGUCUUUAUUAAUACCUGAAUUCUGAGGAACUGGAAAUUACACAGGGCACUGCAGGGGCCCAGAUCCACACCAGGAAGAAGAGAAAAACUCUGUGGGGAGAUUUUUUUUCUUCAUGCAAGAGUGAAAGAGAAGAAUUUGCUAAAGGACAAAAUUGAGUGUGUUUGAGCUUCCUUCAUUUAAUCUGCCUUCUAGAACGCUACAGUAAAUUCUGCAAUGGGGAAGGGGGGAAAUGACUUUUCUAUUUUUAAAUCUCACUUUGAUAUUUUAGGGGCCAGAGUAUGCUCUCUUUACACACCCAGUGUCGAGGGGGUAUUGUUUAAAAAUAAAUUAUUUUUCUUUUUGGUAAUUGAAAACACCUCUGCCGUGCCCCUCUCCCGGGUCUCCCCUCUUCCUUAGAGCUGUUAAGCUCCUGUAGCGCGCUGCUGUCUCAUUAUCAUUAACCAUUUGGGGUCGGUUUGAGAUAUUGGCCCACUUGCUCCCCUCCCCUCCCCUCUACUCCUCUGCCCUCCCCUCUGCGCAUUAAAGAUGAGAAAAUCAACCUUGGAGAUGGUCCAAUCUCCCGUGCGAACUGGUUUCAAACCCUUGCUGCCGGUUGGGGCCGUCAGAAUAGGAAAUAUCAAGGCUGCCUGCUACUUUUUUUGCAAGCAUUUUGCUGCAGUAGUCUUGAAAAGACAGAGGGGCGCCUUCCUGUCCCCCACCCUACACACACGCGUGCCCAUGCACGCACACGCACACGCACACACACACACACACACACACACGCGUGCCCAUGCACGCACACGCACACACACCAGUUUCCACGGGUGAGUCAUCUCAGCCUCUACCACCUGCAUAGUCACCUUCAGUUCUGUUUUUUUAAAAGUUACAAGACUUAAAAAUGUUAAGCCUUAGGGUUAAUUUAAGCUGCCUUUUUUCCUUCUAAAUCUGGCACUUACUAGCUUGCUGAAAAGAGACCUCUCUAUUUCUAUUACAAUCUCAUUGACUGGGACAAGAAAAUAACAUUGAGAGAGCUAACUUACAGCAGCCAAGGCCAAGAAAUUCUAAGUUGCUGAUAAGACCCUCCUCCCUUUUCCUCCCUCCUCCCUCCUCCCUCCUCCCUCCUCUCUCCUCUCUCCUCCCUCCUCCUGCCUCCUGCCUCCUGCCUCCUCCCUCCUCCCUCAUCCUGCCUCCUCCCUCCUUUCUGCCAGAGUGACUGGAUCACACAGGGGAUUCUGGAACUCACAUUUUCCCCCCUUGGUGAGACUCCCAGACGGUGUUCAACCAUCUGUGGUCCCGUGGGCCCAGCAGAGGGGGCCUGAGGAGGGGGGUUUGCCCAUCAGGAGCUGGUUGGGUCAGAUGCUCACAGAGAUCCUCUGCACCCACCCCGAGCAGGCUGAUUAAUUAAGCAAUUGCAUCAUUGAUUCAAGGUUUGUGAUUUGGUGCCAGGGCGCUGGCGGCUGCGUUCCUGAGCAUUGCUUCCCCUCCCUGGGCUGUGAGUUGCAGGAUCCCUUUCCUUUCUCCAGCCUGAUUUUCCUCCCGGGUGCCAACCCUGGAAGUUCCGCCAGGAAAGGAACAGCCCCCUUGCAUUCCAGCUGCCCUUCCGCCCCAGUCAGGAAGCACUGUGCCUCCUGGGGUGUCGUGAUGGGUGGGGCUGUGGGCCCUGAGCAGACCUCAGGAGGGGACUUUUCUGCUCCCAGCAGGCCCUGUGGGCUUCAGCAGGGGCUCGGAGACAGAGAGGGCAGGGAGCCCUGUGGCGCUGAUUUGACAUUUUUAGCUGAAGACCUUUGUUCAGACCAAUUUCCAAGUAGCUUGGGGUUGGAGUGUGUUCUGCUUUUUUUUUUUUUUCCUUUUUUUCUUCUUUUUUUGAAAUCCUGGGCCUCUUUUUCCUUUUUCUUUCAAAGCGAUGAAAUAGAAUUUGACCCUGGGAAUCCCAUUCUUGCCAUCUCUUUCCCCAAGCCACCCUCUUCUGCUUGACCAAGGAGGCCUGGAUUUCCCGGCAGCCUCUGGGGCUCAGAUGGUCUUUGGCUUUGAAACCCUGCUUCCAGCCCAGCCCCUCGAUCCUGUCUUCUGAGGGCUGCAGACUCCCCUGGGAGGCUGAUAUCCUGGCCUGGGGCCCUGGCUCGGGAGGUGCUGUGGGGUGGGGUCCACUGUUUUCCUGUCCUCCUCCCUCUUGGAGACUUUGGCCCUCACUUGGCCUCAGGGUCAGUGGGUGGAAGAGCCAUAAGAUAAAAAUUUAGCCCACUUCCCAAGAACACAGACUUUUCCAAAGGAGGCCCAAACCAGGCAGCCAGAGCCCCUUCAGUUUUCAUCCAGUGGGGGUGGCAUGGUAAGAGCACUCAAAAAUAAGUCAAAACCAAAAACACCAAAACAAUGAAAAGCCAGACAAUAAAAAUUUCCUUUCCCUUGUGAGCCUCAAAGUAAACAAUGAAGAUACCACCUUUGGGAAAGAGGGCGCGACAAACUUAGAUUCAUUUGAAAACCCAUCCUAUUUGCCAAAUCAGAUGGUAAACCUCCUUCUAGCAUCAAAAUCCAUGCGGUUCCAGGGAAGAACGGGGGUGGGGGAGCGAUGUUGGGGGAGCCCUGGAGCCCCCAAACAGAUGUCCAGGGUGGUGAGGCCAGAAAGCCUCCACAGAGCAGUGAUUUAUUUUAUUUUUUAGACGAUGUUUUGGCCACAUUUAUUUAUUUAUUUCCAAAGGGCUAUUUUUGGCGUCUGCCUGGGCUCCUUUGUAGCAAAGCCCCCUUUUCUAGAAUUUCCUUUCCUUUAUUAGAGUUACAGCUCAGCUUUGUGCGGCCCCCGGGGGAGCCGGCCAGCCGCUGGCAAUUUCUCUCAGACACCCAAUUACCCCCUGACGUCAGUGCCGCCUCGCCCAGCUCCCCUGGGUGCUUCCAUUUUUCCCUUUGUAACACUAAUAGCUGACUAGCUAAGUGCCUGUCGGCUCCUUGGCAGAGGAGUUGAUUGUGUUUUCGGCUGGAUACUAAAUCCAAAAACUAUGUAAAAAUGUCAAUAGGUGAGUGCACAUUGAUUUUGGUUAGUCACAGUGAUAUUUGAGCCCCUUCGGGGACUCUGUCUGGGGAAGUAUUUUACAAGAAAGAUAAUAUAACAGAAAAUUACUGGAGCUCCGCGGGUCUCUGGUGGGUUUCUUAGGGGCCUGCUAAAUUGCUGUAGAAUCAACAAAUGCUUUAUUAAUCUAAAUUUGUGGUUUUGUUCUUUCUUCUCUUCAGAAGGUUGGAGUUUUAAUGACGCAGGCGGCUCCGGCAGCCAGGCUGGGCGGCGCGGCCUGCACCUUGGCUGAUGGGCUGGGGUACCCUGGCUGGUAAUGAACUCUCAGAGGGCAGGGCGGCUGUGUUCCCAGCCGGCUUCCUGGGGAAUGUGGAGCAGGCGCUGGGCCCACCGCUUGCCAGGCCGAGGUCUGUGCUAGCAGAUAAAGUGAGGGGCUGAGGGCCUGGAACAGCUGUGGCGGGCCAGGCUGACUGGGAGAGGCUGAUAAGAGCCCAGAAGGAGCCCAGGCGGGCGGCGUGGCAGCGCCAGAAAUCUGACGGGGUAUCACGACUGGCAAAGAAAGUUAAACACGGCCGGAUCCGGGGGAUGGUUGGCGGACCUGCGGAGAAAGAUAAUGGCAUUGCUACCGGACAAUGGGCUAACCAGGCUGAUUCGAGUCGCUGCAGGCUCAUGCCGCCUGCCUACACUGUAGGUGAGGCUUUCAGCCGGGCUUUUGUUGAGUCACCGACAACGUGCACACGCUGGGACACACCUGCUUGCAGAAACUCGCGUGAACACAGAACUCCAGCACUCCCGCCCAUCCCACUGCAUGGCCGGGGGUGCUGCUUCCUGGGCCAGUCCAGUCAUGCCCCAGGGAGCCCCUGUGUUGGCUCCAGGAUCUUAAGCAAAUAAAACACUCUAAAAAAUUU